rnacentral:hammerhead_ribozyme from 1 species
ACAUAAGUCUGGGCUAAGCCCACUGAUGAGCCUUUGCGAUAAGGCGAAACUUAUGU